CUGCAGUGUACACUGAGCUGCCUGUGUGACGCUGCCUGCAAGUAAGAAGAUUUUCGGCAGGGGAACAAAAUCUAAGUGCACAUUUUUUUUUUCUGUUUAAAAGAGUCAACUACAUGACACUGGGAGGAUCAGAAUCCGCUGACAUAGUGAGGAGCCAUCUGGGCGUCAAGUUCUGCAGGGAGAACAUUUAGCUGGAACAAGUCCUGGCGACAUAGCUGCUUGGUGCUAUAACAGGCCAUUUGAUGCUUCAGACUGUCAUUCCUUGUCCAUCUAAAAGUAAAGAAUAAUCACAUUUAAAGCUACUCCGAAAGCAUUUUCUACCAAGAGAUGAGGGUAAUGUUGUUUGGUGCAGCGGUAGUGAUGCUGUUGAUGAGCGAUACUACGUAAAUAAACAGACGAUUUUGCCGGUCUGUUAAGCAGCUUAGAAAGCACCUGAAAAAACAUGGUGAUAUUUCUUCCUCCUGGGGAUCGCAGCAGGAUAAUAUGAAUAUGGAAAUUUAUUGUAAUAAGCCGGCAUCUCAGAAAUGUGUCAUUCUGCCCCAACUGACUGGUAAAGAAUGGUCUAAUUUAAAGUCUUUCUCCUAACUUGGUAUCUCCUUCCUGUGCCCAGGGGAUGGUUACACAAAAUGUGUG